GACGAACGCUGGCGGUGUGCUUAACACAUGCAAGUGGAGCGACGAACCAGGGCUUGCCCUGGGGCAGAGCCGCGAACGGGUGAGUAACACGUGGGUAACGUACCCCGAUCACCGGGACAACCCGAGGAAACUCGGGCUAAUACCGGAUGUGUCCGUGAAUCAUGAGGUUCACGUGCAAAGGAAGCUUCGGCCUCCGGAUCGGGANCGGCCCGCGGCCCAUUAGCCUGUUGGUGGGGUAACGGCCUACCAAAGCGACGAUGGGUAGCUGGUCUGAGAGGACGAUCAGCCACACUGGGACUGAGACACGGCCCAGACUCCUACGGGAGGCAGCAGUGGGGAAUCUUGCGCAAUGCGCGAAAGCGUGACGCAGCAACACCGCGUGAGGGAAGACGGCCU
rnacentral:rRNA from 1 species